rnacentral:rRNA from 1 species
CCCUUAGAUGUUCUGGGCCGCACGCGCGCUACACUGAUUCAUGCAACAAGUUUUGUCCUUGGCUGAUAGGCCUGGGUAAUCUUUGAACGUGAAUCGUGAUGGGGAUAGAUGAUUGCAAUUAUUCAUCUUUAACGAGGAAUUCCUAGUAAACGCAAGUCAUCAGCUUGCAUUGAUUACGUCCCUGCCCUUUGUACACACCGCCCGUCGCACCUACCGAUUGAAUGGUCCGGUGAAAUCUUCGGAUCUGAGAGAUGUCUGAUUAAUUUCGGACGCCUUUUGGAAAAGUUGCUUAAACCUUACCAUUUAGAGGAAGGUGAANUCGUAACA